rnacentral:rRNA from 1 species
AUUGAACGCUGGCGGAAUGCUUUACACAUGCAAGUCGAACGGCAGCACGGACUUCGGUCUGGUGGCGAGUGGCGAACGGGUGAGUAAUGUAUCGGAACGUGCCCAGUCGUGGGGGAUAACGUAGUGAAAAUUACGCUAAUACCGCAUACGAUCUAUGGAUGAAAGCGGGGGAUCGCAAGACCUCGCGCGAUUGGAGCGGCCGAUAUCAGAUUAGGUAGUUGGUGGGGUAAAGGCCCACCAAGCCAACGAUCUGUAGCUGGUCUGAGAGGACGACCAGCCACACUGGAACUGAGACACGGUCCAGACUCCCACGGGAGGCAGCACUGGGGAAUUUUGGACAAUGGGCGAAAGCCUGAUCCAGCCAUUCCGCGUGCAGGAUGAAGGCCCUCGGGUUGUGAACUGCUUUUGUACAGAACGAAAAGGUCUCUACUAAUACUAGGAGCUCAUGACGGUACUGUAAGAAUAAGCACCGGCUAACUACGUGCCAGCAGCCGCGGUAA